UUGGUUGCAGAAGCAGGAACACCUCCAGAUCCAGUUGGUGACUCUCACGCCCCAGGGUUUAGUUUAGUCUAUCUUAUGGUGAAAUGUCCUGGUCAGCAGGGCAAAGUGUCCUGAAGAGGCUACUUGUCACUGUGCUGGGACUUUUGUGCACCCAGGUUUGCUGUGUGACAGGAUUGAUGGUGAAGCAGAGUCCCCCAGAACUGAGUCUCCAGGAGGGACUCAGCUGCACGCUGCAGUGCAAUUUUUCCACCUCUGUGACCAGGGUGCAGUGGUUUCGCCAAAAUCCUGGGGGCCACCUCAUCCACCUGUUUUACAUUCCUUCCGGGACAAAGCAGAAUGGAAGAUUACGCUCUACGACCGUGGUUGAGGAUCUCCGCAGCUUGCUCUACAUUUCCUCCCUCCGCACCACAGACUCAGCCAUUUAUUUCUGCGCUGGGGCGGAGUCACAGUGCUCCCCAGGCACCUGCAGCCUGUGCACAAACCCUCAGCACGACUUGGCUCCUCCUCCAGCCGCAGUCAGAUCCAGAAGCCCACCACACGGCAUUGGCACGGCUUAAUAUUCCUGACUAUAUCGCUGGAGUUCAAACCACAGGCACUUUUAGGUCCUACAGAUUUGAGACUUUUUGGUCUUUAUCUUCCCUUCUCAACCUGGGAUCUCUUUUUCUGGACUUAAACCUCUGACUUGGAACAUGAGUAGCUAAUGAGAAGACAGACUUAAAAUGAAUAGUUAAGCCCAAUAUGCGGAAUUCCAAGAGGGAAAAAAGUGAAAGGAAUACAAAGAAAAAAAAAUCACUCCAAUAAAGAUGUUAUUAGAGAAGGAUCCAGCUUAGUUGGGUGUCUCAAGAGUACAAACCUGCCUCAAUCCAAUGUGUCUUAGUAGACAAUUGCAAAUGGCUGCAUCCCAUCCCGAUGAGGGAGCAAAAGGCAAGCUGGGGGCAAAGCACAAGCUAACAUCCUGCAACCCCUCCCCAUCCCCAGGUGGGAUGUGUGUGAUAUUCCUCAGGCACUCCUGGCUGCCCAAGAACAAAGGAAGGGGAAAAGCAAAUGGUUAACUGAUAGAGAUCACAGCCAUGCAAGACAUGUUUCCAUGUUUGCAACUGUGUUAAUGAUUUAUAAGGGAAAAAAAGCAACCUUCAGAAACCUACAGACUCAAUUUCCUGGAGCCCUAACAUCACCCUUCCCUCCAUAGGAUAGAAAAUCUUUAUAUAAUCAGUCACGCCUCACAACCCCGGGCAGCUCUUUCUGCCCACAGGUCCUGUCCCCAUGCUAUAAUAAAAAGACCUUUUAUUUAUUUAUUUAUUUAUUUAUUUAUUGGCACUGAAAAUGUCUCAAGAGAUCUUUCUUGCCCAUUGGCUCCGGACCCCUACUUCAAACCACACCACUACUGGUCCGGCAAAGCAAACAAAAAAAAUUUCUUUCUGAAUGUUCAUAUAUGAACUUGGUCACUGAACACAAAACAAAUUUAUCCUCUUAUAGUUUGGGAUGCCAGAAGUCUGAAAUCAUUUUCUCUGUCUAGUCAAGGUCUCAGCAGGGUGGAGCCCUUCUAGAGGCUCAAGAGAAAGAAUCCAUUUCCUGUUCUAGCUUCUGGAGACCAGCUGGAUUCCCUGGCCCAUGACCCUUUCUUGAAUGAUUCCAGCUUCUACCACUGAUGGGGUUUUGAGGUGAUUGUGGGGUUGGGAGCCGAUGGCCAAGAAAGAAUUCUUGAAUACGUCUUUGGUGCAAAAAGGUGAUUUUAUUAAAGCACGGAGACAGGACCCAUGGGCAGAAAG